rnacentral:rRNA from 1 species
GAUGAACGCUGGCGGCGUGCCUAAUACAUGCAAGUCGAACGCUUCACUUCGGUGAAGAGAGGCGAACGGGUGAGUAAUACAUAAGUAACCUGGCAUCUACAGGGGGAUAACUGAUGGAAACGUCAGCUAAGACCGCAUAGGUGUAGAGAUCGCAUGAACUCUAUAUGAAAAGUGCUACGGGACUGGUAGAUGAUGGACUUAUGGCGCAUUAGCUUGUUGGUAGGGUAACGGCCUACCAAGGCGACGAUGCGUAGCCGACCUGAGAGGGUGACCGGCCACACUGGGACUGAGACACGGCCCAGACUCCUACGGGAGGCAGCAGUAGGGAAUUUUCGGCAAUGGGGGAAACCCUGACCGAGCAACGCCGCGUGAAGGAAGAAGUAAUUCGUUAUGUAAACUUCUGUCAUAGAGGAAGAACGGUGGAUAUAGGGAAUGAUAUCCAAGUGACGGUACUCUAUAAGAAAGCCACGGCUAACUACGUG